CACGUAGUUAGCCGUGGCUUCCUCCAAGGGUACCGUCAUUUGUUUCUUCCCCAAGGACAGCGGUUUACAACCCGAAGGCCGUCAUCCCGCACGCGGCGUUGCUGCAUCAGAGUUUCCUCCAUUGUGCAAGAUCCCCCACUGCUGCCUCCCGUAGGAGUCUGGACCGUGUCUCAGUUCCAAUGUGGCCGUCCGACCUCUCAGUCCGGCUACCGAUCGUGGGCUUGGUGAGCCAUUACCUCACCAACUACCUAAUCGGGCGCGAGCCCAUCUUUCAGCGAUAAAUCUUUGAUAGUUGAAUCAUGCGAUUCUACUACAUCAUGAGGUAUUAGCAGCCGUUUCCGACUGUUAUCCCUCUCUGAAAGGCAGGUUGCUCACGUGUUACUCACCCGUCCGCCACUAAGUCUACUAAAUCGUCAUUCCGAAGAAAUCAGUUUUAGCCGCUUCGUUCGACUUGCAUGUGUUAGGCACGCCGCCAGCGUUCAUCCUGAGCCAGGAUA
rnacentral:rRNA from 1 species